UUUCCUACGGGGGGCAGCAGUGGGGAAUAUUGGGCAAUGGGCGCAAGCCUGACCCAGCAACGCCGCGUGAGUGACGAAGGUCUUCGGAUUGUAAAACUCUGUUCUUGGUGAAGAUAAUGACGGUAGCCAAGGAGAAAGCUCCGGCUAACUACGUGCCAGCAGCCGCGGUAAUACGUAGGGAGCGAGCGUUGUCCGGAAUUACUGGGUGUAAAGGGUGCGUAGGCGGCCUUGCAAGUCAGGCGUGAAAACCAUGGGCUCAACCCGUGGACUGCGUUUGAAACUGUGAGGCUUGAGUGAAGUAGAGG
rnacentral:rRNA from 1 species